AGAGUUUGAUCCUGGCUCAGGAUGAACGCUAGCGGUAGGCAUAACACAUGCAAGUCGAGGGGCAGCUGGUUUGGUAGCAAUACUGAAUGUCAGGCGACCGGCGGAUGGGUGAGUAACGCGUACGCAACCUACCUUGUACAGUGGGAUAGACACUGGAAACGGUGCGUAAUACCACGUAAUAAUAUAGAUAGGCAUCUAUUUAUAUGGGAAGGGUACGUAAGUAUUGGUAUAAGAUGGGCGUGCGUAGGAUUAGAUAGAUGGUGGGGUAACGGCUUACCAUGUCGACGAUCUUUAGGGGUUCUGAGAGGAAGGUCCCCCACAUUGCAACUGAGAACGGUGCAAACUCCUACGGGAGGCAGCAGUGAGGAAUAUUGGUCAAUGGGCGGAAGCUUGAACCAGCCAUACCGCGUGCAGGAAGGCGGCCUUAUGGGUUGUAAACUGCUUUUAUAAUGGGAUAGUGAUUAUAUCGUGCAUAUGAUAGGGAAGGUACAUUAUGAAUAAGUAUCGGCUAACUCCGUGCCAGCAGCCGCGAUAAUACGGAGGAUACGAGCGUUGUCCGGAUUUAUUGGGUUUAAAGGGUGCGUAGGCGGUUGAUUAGGUCUAUGGUGAAAUGGUUGUGCUCAACACAAUUUAGCUGUAGAAACCGGUCGGCUAGAAUAUAAGUGGCGUAGGCGGAAUAAAGCGUGUAGAGGUGACAUUCAUAGAUAUGCUUUAGAACACCGUUCGCGAAGGCGGCUUACGAAGGUAAAAUUGACGCUAAUGCACGAGAGCGUGGGUAUCGAACAGGAUUAGAUACCCUGGUAGUCCGCGCAGUAAAC
rnacentral:rRNA from 1 species